CCCCGCUCUAGUGGACCAUGCGUCACACUUCUUUUUUUCACAUACAAACUACAUUUCCCAAAAUACCCUUUUAUCUUUUCCCUUUUUUCUCUGUAAAGUCAACCGGAGAUGGUGGCCGAUAACACUGACGGAGCCGCCGGUGAGGGUUUCACUUUCCGAUCACCACCACCUCCUCCACACUCAUCUUCAAUAACCGCUAACCAAGAUACUCCGGCGGGGCAAUUCGGUCAAAUUUCACGCAGACGUUCCCCAAGAUUACUUGACUGUAAUAGAAACAAUUCCGGUGAUCAUAAAAAUAGCAAUAACAAGCAUCCGGUGAAAAAGAAGCCUAGGGUUGCUUCAGGUUCUGAAUCUUAUUCUCUUUCCCGCAAUGAUGGUUCUUUCUUUAUCGGCGAUCCAGUUUCCGACGAGGAGGCUCGCCGGAGAUGGCCUUGGCGUUACAAUUGUCUGGGACUCAAAAGUGACGGAUGUGGCCCCAAAACCAAGAACAAUGACGACGACGACGACGAUGACAUAUUGGUUUUGAAUGUGAAGUGUCAUUAUCUACAAGCUAAGGUCGAGACACAUGUCCUCGAUCUUGGUGAUUGCGUGACCGUGAAGGGUGAAGGAGACCAUGAUCAUGUUGGUAGGAUAAUUGAAUUCUUUAAAACAACUGUUAAUCAAGACUUUUUCCGAGUUCAAUGGUUUUUCAGAGCCGAAGAUACGGUAAUAAAGGAUGCAUCAUCAUCUAAUGACGAAAGGCGAUUGUUCUGUUCCACCUUAAUGAAUGACAAUGCAUUAGAUUGCAUUAUUUCAAAAGUCAAAGUAGUCAAAAUACAACCUGGUAUAAAUCUGAAGUCGAUCCCCGCAUGUGACUAUUAUUACGACAUGCAAUACAACAUUAACUACUCCACAUUCUCCACAAUUAAAGACGAUGCAUCCUCAAAUAAUUUCCGUCUGUCCUCAUGCCACAAUAAGGAGGAAAUCAACAGUAACGGAAGCAUUGACGAUAAUUCAAAUGAAAAAGUAACGAGUUUUAAACCUAAAAAAUUAGAGUUGACGCUAUUAGAUAUGUAUUCCGGGUGUGGUGGAAUGUCAACAGGAUUGUGUUUUGGAGCAAAAAUAUCCGGUGUAGAUCUAUUCACGAAAUGGGCAGUAGAUGCAAACGAAGACGCAUGUGAAAGCUUAAGGUUGAACCAUCCGGAUACACAAAUUAGAAACGAAUCUGCUAGUGACUUUUUAGAUCUAAUAAAAGAGUGGGACAAGCUCUGCAAAAAGUAUCCAGUCAAGAAGAGAACACAACAUGUACCGCCGGACGAUGUUAUACCCUCAAAAGAACAUAACGUUGUUCCCAAAGAUGAAUACGAAGUUGAAAAAGUCGUUGAUAUAUGUUACAGUGAACUCGGUGGAAGUAGUAAGCGUGGCCUCAAAUUUAAGGUUCGUUGGGCUGGUUAUGGUCCGAAUGAUGAUACAUGGGAGCCAAUUGAGGAGUUAAGCAAAUGCAAGGACAAGAUCCGUGAGUUUGUCCAGAAGGGAAUCAAGGCAAACAUAUUGCCUCGUCCGGGUGAUGUCGGUCUCAUUUGCGGGGGUCCUCCAUGCCAAGGAAUAAGCGGUCAUAAUCGCCAUAGAAAUCUCGAAUCGCCUUUAGAAGAUGAAAAGAAUUACCAAAUAGUAGUAUUCAUGGAAAUUAUCAACUUUUUGAAACCAAAGUAUAUCCUCAUGGAAAACGUGGUUGACAUUUUGCGGUUGGCAAAUGGUUGCUUAGCAAGAUACGCAAUAAGUUGUCUGGUUCGUGAUUAUUAUCAAGUACGACUCGGGAUUAUGGCAGCUGGGUGUUACGGUCUCCCCCAGUUCCGCUUACGUGUAUUCUUGUGGGGUGCUCAUGCUGAAGAGAAUUUGCCUCCAUUUCCACUACCUACUCAUGAUGUGGUCUUCAAACACGGGGCAGCAAAUGGUUUCGAGCGUAAUAUCGUUGCUUACGAUGAAGGGAAACGUCCUAAGCUUGAGAAAUGUGUUCUUCUUAAAGAUGCGAUAUCCGAUCUUCCACCGGUAUCAAACACUGAAAUUCGUGAUAAGAUGAGGUACACGAGUCCUCCAGAAACCGAAUUCCAAAAAUUUAUUAGAGCUACCAAGUCAGAUAUGUUGGGAAUUGCUUCGGGAAGCUCGCGUGGAGAGAAGCCUUUACUGCACGAUCACCGGCCUUUACCAUUAAACGAGGAUGACUAUUUACGAGUUUGUCGAGUCCCAAAAAGAAAGGGAGCAAAUUUUCGUGAUCUCCCAGGUGUCGUUUUUGAUAAUGAUAAUACUGUAAGCAGGGCAUCUGAGCCGGAGCUAAUGCCAUCUGGAAAACAUUGGGUCCCUGAUUAUGCAUUAAAUUUUAGGCAUAAGAAGAAUACAAGGCAUGAGAUUUUAUCUACCCAAGAUCUUUUGCACGCUUAUGGUGGGAUGAGACAGUUUCGACAGUACUUUGCACACCAAAUUAUCGCGCUGAGGCAAUGUUACAUCCAGAACAAGAUAGGGUCCUAACUAUUCGUGAGAAUGCAAGAUUGCAAGGGUUUCCUGACUAUUAUGCAUUAAGCGGUAAUGUGAAACAAAGAUACCGGCAAGUGGGUAAUGCUGUAGCGGUUCCAGUGGGACGUGCAUUGGGUUAUGCAUUGGGAAUGGCGCUGCAUAAGUUGACUGGAGAUGAACCACUCAUCACACUCCCACCAAAGUUUGCACAUUCUACGACCUUUGACUUGUUGCAGUCCAGAUUAGCAACCGAACCUUAAUCGCCCUCGUUCUGAUUCUGCUUCACUGUUAACUACAGAUUAGCGUAAAAUAGAAAUGUUGGUUUUAAAUUUGAAGCUUCUGUAUGGCACACUUUUGUCUCUAUAAAAUGAUAUAUGUUUUGUGCUAUUGAUUAUACUGCCUAGAUCGAGGCUCCAUCCUUA